rnacentral:rRNA from 1 species
GACGAACGCUGGCGGCGUGGAUUAGGCAUGCAAGUCGAACGGUAUCAUCCUUUCGGGGGUGAGAGAGUGGCGAACUGGUGAGUAACACGUAGGUUAUCUACCCUCAAGACGGGGACAACCCAGGGAAACUUGGGCUAAUACCGGAUGUGAGCAACUUUUAGUUGUUUGAAAGGUGGCGUAAGCUGUCGCUUGGGGAUGAGCCUGCGUCCUAUUAGUUAGUUGGUGAGGUAACGGCUCACCUAGGCAAUGAUAGGUAGGCGGCCUUAACGGGUGGUCGCCCACACUGGGAUUGAGAUACGGCCCAGACUCCUACGGGAGGCAGCAGUCGAGAAUAGUCUACAAUGGUCGGAAGACUGAUAGUGCGACGCCGCGUGCAGGAAGGAGCCCUUCGGGGUGUAAACUGCUGUCGUGUAGGGAGAAGGGUACUAAGGUGAACAAUCUUAGUACUUGACGGUACUACAGGAGGAAGCCCAGGCUAACCUCGUG